UUCGCUUUCCGGCAGGGCUGCACUGCACUUGGAGGGGUGGUGGCCUCGGUUCAGUUGAGAAGCUGAUGUCUCUUCCAGCUGGAACCUUGGACCCCUACAUUUACCCCAGAGGAGACAGACAUUGAUGGCUGCUGAGAGCGGAGCCUUUAAUGAAAGAUUAGUUGCAGGCCUGGACUGCUACUCUUGCRCCCUU